rnacentral:rRNA from 1 species
UACAGAGGUCUCAAGCGUUGUUCGGAUUCAUUGGGCGUAAAGGGUGCGUAGGUGGCGAGGUAAGUCAGGUGUGAAAUCUCGGGGCUCAACCCCGAAACUGCACUUGAUACUGCCUUGCUCGAGUACUGGAGAGGAGAUUGGAAUUUACGGUGUAGCAGUGAAAUGCGUAGAUAUCGUAAGGAAGACCAGUGGCGAAGGCGGGUCUCUGGACA